rnacentral:rRNA from 1 species
GACGUAGGGGCCGAGCGUUGUCCGGAGUUACUGGGCGUAAAGGGCGCGUAGGCGGCCUCUUAAGUCGAACGUGAAAUCCCCGGGCUCAACCCGGGAACUGCGUCCGAUACUGGGAGGCUUGAAUCCGGGAGAGGGAUGUGGAAUUCCAGGUGUAGCGGUGAAAUGCGUAGAUAUCUGGAGGAACACCGGUGGCGAAGGCGGCAUCCUGGACCGGUAUUGACGCUGAGGCGCGAAAGCCAGGGGAGCAAACGGG